GAAUCACCUAUUUUGCAGUCAUCAUCC
rnacentral:sRNA from 1 species